GUGACUCCUUUUCCUGCGGGCUAAAUAUGGAGUUUCGCUCAUGUCGCCCAGGCUGCAGUGCAACAGUGCAAUCUUGGCCUACCACAACCUCCGCCUCCCAGGUUCAAGCGAUUCUCCUGUCUCAGCCUCCUCAGUAGCUGGUUUACAGGCAUGUGCCACCAUGCCCGGCUAAUUUUGUAUUUUUAGUAGAGACGGGUUUCUCUGUGUUGCUCAGGCUGGCCUCAAACUCCCGACCUCAGGUGAUCUGCCCGCCUCAGCCUCCCAAAGUGCUGGGAUUACAGGCGUGAGCCACGGCACCCAGCCACAAUGGGCACAUUUAGUCAUGCAGUAUAAGUGAAGAAUGGAGGUCACUCAGAAGACACAGUUUUUCAUUACCUACAAAGUUCUACAUCAAUCCGCCCUGGUUCCCCUACCUCUCGCCGCCCCCCUACUCAAGCCAUGUGGCCUCCCUGCUGUUCUUUGACAGCCUUGUUAUGGGGCUGAGUUGUGUUCCCCCAACAGACAUGUUGACAUCCUAGCCCCCAGGUACCUGUAAACAUGAACUUAUUUGGAAACAGGGUCUUUGCAGACGCAGUCAGGUUAAGAUGAGGUUAUUAGAGUAGGCCUUUAAUCCAAAAUGACUGGCGUCCUUCCAAGAGGAGAAGACAGGCUGUGACUGUGGAGGCAGAGGAUGGAGUGCUGCAUCUACAAGCUGAGGAACGCCAAGGAUUGUUGCCACCGCCAUGAGCUAAAAAAGGCAAGGAAGGAUUCUCCCUUACAGGUUUCAGAGGGAGCACAGCCCUGCUGACACCCUGAUUUUGCAUUUCUAGCCUUCAAAACUGGACGACAACACAUUUGCCUGCCUGGUUUGUGGUAUUUUGUUCCAGCAGCCCUAGGAAAUGAAUACAAGCCUCAAAUGUGUUCCAGCGCUUGCUGGCCUCUCUGCUUGCAAGCCCUUCCCCGGACAACGCCCUCACUCCCUUCAGGUCACUGCUGAAAUGCCACCUUUGCAGAGAGGCUGGUCCUGACUGCACUACUGACCUGGGCAGUUGCGGCCUCUCUCCCUUCCUCCACCUCCUUUAGCUUUCUUCUGGUCCCUAGCCAUACCUGACAAUAUGUUGUAUGUCUUUCAUCUUUGUUGUAAAACGAUUGUCUGCCUUGCCUUCUAGAAGGUACGUUCCGUGAAAUUAGGGACUGUCCGGUUCAUUGCUGCACACCCAGUGCCUGCCAUGUGCCUGACAUAGACUGGAGUCUCCCAUACGCUUGUUUCAUAAGCGAAUGAGCUGUUUGAGAAUGUUGUUUGUUUUCCUUUUCACUCUUUUAUCCUCUACAUGACCUAAUGUUUUGCUCAUGGUAGAUGGUCAGGAAAUAUGGGCAGAUGGAUUAAUAAACCCGUCACCACCAUUGGGCUGAAGGCUCUGCGUGGUGAAGAGGGGCAAGUCAAAACGCAUGGCAUGUUGGCCUGGAUUUGGUGGCCUCUUUGUUGUAAAAUGAUUCUAGGGACAAUUGAUCAGAUUUCUCUGAGUAAUCAUUAUAGCUUACCAUUUGUUACAUGCAGCCACUGUUUCUCUUGCCCUGAAUGCCUCCUGAUUCCUCCCUUCCCCAGUUAUUUUUCUGAUUAAGGAAUCAGAGUUGAAUAAUCUAAAUUUAGUUUGUGUAGCUCAGAGGUGCCAAUCAUGGCAAAUAAUGAAUGAAGAGAUUUCCCACCCCUUUCCCUGAAGCACUGAGCUGAAACCAACAAAUUCAUUUUAUUUAGGAUCACAGGCUGCACUCAGAGUGGUGUCUGUGACAGGUGAGUGCUUUAUUCACUAAUGAACUCACCAGGCCCCAGACAAACCCUCUCCCUCCUGGUUGGGGUGCUCCUUAUCUCCGUUAGCCCACACACUGUGCCUUUUUAGCCUUCUGUUUGCUAAUGGAAUUGGUGUGUCAUUUUGUUAAAAAUAUGUUAAGUCAGAAAAAAUUCAUAUUAUGUAUAUCAUAUGGUUCCGCAAAUUUCUUUAGCCUUUCAAGGGCUUUUCUGGUAAGCCUGUAUUUAGAGUUCACAAUUUCUGGAUUAAGGACUGUGUUUUCUACCAGUUUUGAAAAGGACCAACAUAAAGCACAUUUUAUCUGCUUUCACUGCAUAAGAACAUAAAAAUUUACUCAUUGGAAAGCUGUUAUAUUCAAUGUUUGUAAGAAAUAAGCCAUAGAUUAGGAAUAACAAUUGUUAUGGUACUCUCUGUUGGGGAAAAAGAAUGAAGUUCUGUUUUCAGUUAUAACCCAUGAGUUCUUAAUAUGUGCACCAGGAGGUUUUAUACAUGAGGAAUUUUGAAUGAGUUUUUAAAAGUCAGUAAAGCACCUGUAAUCCCAGCUACUCGGGAGACUGAGGCAGGAGAAUCACUUGAACCCAGUAGGCGGAGGUUGCAGUGAGCCGAGAUCGUGCCAUUGCACUCCAGCCUGGGCAACAGGGUGAGACUCCCUCUAAAAAAAAAAAAAACAAAAAAAAUUAAUUAAUUAAUGAAAAAAUAAAAAAUAAAAAAAGAAGUCAGUAAAAAUGAAAGUGCAAGAUGCGAAUAAAAGAAAUGAAAUGAUGCUGAUUCAUUAAAAUAUUUAAUAAAGUAUGUCUUGCUAGUUCCAUAAUCAUUUCUGGACAGAAAUUUAACCCACGCCAGCCAUUGAUUUUGUACUGGUGAGACUUGGCACCUUUAUGCCUUGUCACUAAUCAUCAGCGUUUGCCUGGGAGGGACCAGAAGCCCCCUUAUCUCUACCCAGCAGGAGGGCCCAGCACCCUGGAUGGAGGGGAUGACUUUCUCCAGGGCCUCCCAGAGGGGACAAGAAGAGCCUUCAUAGCU
rnacentral:lncRNA from 10 species